rnacentral:rRNA from 1 species
CAAGUCGAACGGAGUGAAGGAGCUUGCUCUUUCAUUUAGUGGCGCACGGGUGAGUAACGCGUAGAUAAUCUGCCUUAGACUCUGGGAUAACAUCUCGAAAGGGGUGCUAAUACCUGAUAAGCCCACGAUGGCGAAAGUCGUUGCGGGAAAAGGGGGCCUCUGAAUAUGCUCUUGAUCUAAGAUGAGUCUGCGUACCAUUAGCUAGUUGGUAGGGUAAGAGCCUACCAAGGCGACGAUGGUUAGCUGGUCUGAGAGGAUGAUCAGCCACACUGGAACUGAGACACGGUCCAGACUCCUACGGGAGGCAGCAGUGGGGAAUUUUGCGCAAUGGGGGAAACCCUGACGCAGCAACGCCGCGUGAGUGAUGAAGGCUUUCGGGUCGUAAAGCUCUGUCUAGAGGGAAGAAAUGAUAUUUGGUUAAUACCCGGAUUUCUUGACGGUACCUCUGAAGGAAGCACCGGCUAACUCCGUGCCAGCAGCCGCGGUAAUACGGAGGGUGCAAGCGUUGUUCGGAUUUAUUGGGCGUAAAGCGCGUGUAGGCGGUUUGUUAAGUCUGAUGUGAAAGCCCUGGGCUCAACCUGGGAAGUGCAUUGGAAACUGGCAGACUUGAAUACGGGAGAGGGUAGUGGAAUUCCUAGUGUAGGAGUGAAAUCCGUAGAU